AUAUUUUAUAUUAUAGAUCAAGAAUCCAAAGAAGAACGAGGAAAAGAAAAAGUUGCGGAAUAGUCCCUAAAUUUCAAUAUCUUCUACAAAUUAGCCGGAUUGACUUGAAGUGAAGUGGGUAGAUCGGAUCAACACAACAAAGCACACUAUCCAGAUCAAUUCCGGUAGCUUUUGUUUUAUGUUUGAAGAUUUAUAUGGCAUGUAUAGAGUUUAAAUGAAAUGAAGUAAAGAUGUUAUAAACUAGUUAACAACAUUUUGUACUAAAA